GAGCCAGUGCCUCAAUGGUGGAGAGUUCGACUCAAAUACCAAAGGUCGCGGGUUCGAAUCCCACGUGUUUCA
rnacentral:tRNA from 1 species